AUUGAACGCUGGCGGCAGGCCUAACACAUGCAAGUCGAGCGAAGCCUUCGGGCUUAGCGGCGGACGGGUGAGUAACGCGUGGGAACGUGCCCUUUGCUACGGAAUAGCCCCGGGAAACUGGGAGUAAUACCGUAUGUGCCCUUCGGGGGAAAGAUUUAUCGGCAAAGGAUCGGCCCGCGUUGGAUUAGGUAGUUGGUGGGGUAAUGGCCUACCAAGCCGACGAUCCAUAGCUGGUUUGAGAGGAUGAUCAGCCACACUGGGACUGAGACACGGCCCAGACUCCUACGGGAGGCAGCAGUGGGGAAUCUUAGACAAUGGGCGCAAGCCUGAUCUAGCCAUGCCGCGUGAUCGAUGAAGGCCUUAGGGUUGUAAAGAUCUUUCAGGUGGGAAGAUAAUGACUGUACCACCAGAAGAAGCCCCGGCUAACUCCGUGCCAGCCGCCGCCGUAAAAC
rnacentral:rRNA from 1 species